GGAUUAUUGGGCGUAAGCGCGCGCAGGUGGUUUCUUAAGUCUGAUGUGAAAGCCCACGGCUCAACCGUGGAGGGUCAUUGGAAACUGGGAGACUUGAGUGCACAAGAGGAAAGUGGAAUUCCAUGUGUAGCGGUGAAAUGCGUAGAGAUAUGGAGGAACACCAGUGGCGAAGGCGACUUUCCGGUCUGUAACUGACACUGAGGCGCGAAAGCGUGGGGAGCAAACAGGAUUAUAUACCCUGGUAGUCCACGCCGUACACGAUGAGUG
rnacentral:rRNA from 1 species